rnacentral:rRNA from 1 species
GAUGAACGCUGGCGGCGUGCCUAAUACAUGCAAGUCGAGCGAACAGACGAGGAGCUUGCUCCUUUGACGUUAGCGGCGGACGGGUGAGUAACACGUGGGUAACCUACCUAUAAGACUGGGAUAACUUCGGGAAACCGGAGCUAAUACCGGAUAAUAUUUCGAACCGCAUGGUUCGAUAGUGAAAGAUGGCUUUGCUAUCACUUAUAGAUGGACCUGCGCCGUAUUAGCUAGUUGGUAAGGUAACGGCUUACCAAGGCAACGGUACGUAGCCGACCUGAGAGAGUGAUCGGCCGCACUGGAACUGAGCCACGGUCCAGGCUCCUACGGGAGGCAGCAGUAGGGAAUCUUCCGCAAUGGGCGAAAGCCUGGCGGAGCAACGCCACGUGAGUGAUGAAGGUCUUCGGAUCGUAAAGCUCUGUUAUUAGGGGAGAACAAACGUGUAAGUAACUGUGCACGUCUUGACGGUACCUAAUCAGAAAGCCACGGCUAACUACGUG